ACACUUACCUGGCAGGGGAGAUACUGUGAUCAAGAAGUCGGUUCACCCAGGGUUAGGCUCAGCCAUUGCACUCUGGCUGUGGUGGCUUAGCUGUUAAGGAAGGUUGGAAGGUUGCCAGUUC
ensembl:snRNA U1 U1 spliceosomal RNA